CACUAGGAAAGCCCGCGGGCGGAGGCAGGAGACUGGAAGGAGGCGCACCUGGUGAGAAUCGCCAGGCGCUCUGCCCAAUCCUCUGCUCAUAGCAGCAGAGAGGUCUGAACCCAACACUGUGUUCAGGUGUCCACAGCCCACGUCAAAUUAACAGAAAUUAACUCAUGGAUGGUGGAAAUCUCCUCUGUCAAGCAUGUACAUAUGUAUGUUAUCCUAUUUGCCUAUAGAGAAGAAUUCACUCCUACUCCAGCAAGGGAGGGCUUGCACAAGCU